rnacentral:rRNA from 1 species
GAGUUUGAUCCUGGCUCAGGAUGAACGCUGGCGGCGUGCCUAAUACAUGCAAGUCGAGCGAACCACUUCGGUGGGAAGCGGCGAACGGGUGAGUAACACGUAGGUGAUCUACCCAUCAGACGGGGACAACGGUUGGAAACGAUCGCUAAUACCGGAUAGGACGAAAGUUUAAAGAUGCUCCUGGCAUCACUGAUGGAUGAGCCUGCGGCGCAUUAGCUAGUUGGUGGGGUAAAGGCCUACCAAGGCGACGAUGCGUAGCCGACCUGAGAGGGUGAACGGCCACACUGGGACUGAGACACGGCCCAGACUCCUACGGGAGGCAGCAGUAGGGAAUCUUCGGCAAUGGGCGAAAGCCUGACCGAGCAACGCCGCGUGAAUGAAGAAGGCCUUCGGGUUGUAAAAUUCUGUUAUAAGGGAAGAAAGGUGAUAGGAGGAAAUGACUAUCAAUUGACGGUACCUUAUGAGAAAGCCACGGCUAACUACGUGCCAGCAGCCGCGGUAAUACGUAGGGGGCAAGCGUUAUCCGGAUUUACUGGGUGUAAAGGGAGCGUAGACGGCAGCACAAGUCUGGAGUGAAAUCCCGGGGCUUAACCCCGGAACUGCUUUGGAAACUGUGCGGCUGGAGUGCAGGAGGGGUAAGCGGAAUUCCUAGUGUAGCGGUGAA